rnacentral:misc_RNA from 1 species
UUUCUUUUCUUUUAUUUUCUUUUUUCUUUUAUGUGUUUUAAUGAUUAAAUGGAGCAAAAAUAAUAAGUUGAGAAGGAAUAGAUUAUCUGUUUUUCACUAUUGGUAGAAAGAGGGCACCAAGGAUGAUAGAGCUUCAAUCUGUUUAGUUGUUUUUUUUUUCCUUUUUAAGUUUUUCGAAAAUGAUUGUGCAGUGACAAUUUUCUGAUUUUAGCGUUUGUUCAAGCUAUGAGUAGAUUAACUAAGGGAAAGGGAAUAGGAAAAACAUGCAAGAAUUGC